GAUGAAGAACGCAGCGAAAUGCGAUAAGUAGUGUGAAUUGCAGAAUUCAGUGAAUCAUCGAAUCUUUGAACGCACAUUGCGCCCCUUGGUAUUCCAUGGGGCAUGCCUGUUCGAGCGUCAUUUGUACCUUCAAGCUUUGCUUGGUGUUGGGUGUUUGUCUCGCCUUUGCGUGUAGACUCGCCUUAAAAUAAUUGGCAGCCGGCGUAUUGAUUUCGGAGCGCAGUACAUCUCGCGCUUUGCACUCAUAACGACAGCGUCCAAAAGUACAUUUUAUACUCUUGACCUCGGAUCAGGUAGGGAUACCCGCUGAACUUAAGCAUAUCAAUAAGCGGAGGA
rnacentral:misc_RNA from 1 species